rnacentral:lncRNA from 1 species
CUGUCAAUUUCAUUUGCUUCUUCUUCUUCUACCGUGCACGAGCUGUCUGUCUCUGCUUUUCUCCAGAAGGAUCUCUCGCACGACUGUUCGUGAUGUGGAAGAUGGAAUAGAUGUUACUGAUGGCUACUGGGAUCGCGUUACCUGAGAGAGUUUGAGUGGCAGCAAGGGAAGGCUACCGUGUCAGCACCGAACGCAGAACGAUGAGAAUGAAAAAAAAAAAAAAAAAGGGAGGAAGAGAGAGAGAGAGAGAGCCUGACUGUCGGUGAUGGGUACAACAGAAGCAGAGAGAAAAGCAGAGGGAAAGAAGAAACGAAAGAAACGAGUUAUCCGGCGGUCUCAAGAAUGACAACGCACGAACUCUCAUCUUCCCUUGGAUUCAACGACGACGACGACAAAGAUGACGAACAGGAUAUCGGAUGAUUUCCUGUCUCUCCGACCACCAAAAUAUCGUUCCUUUAGAAAUAUUUCAAUGGCCAAGAUUAUAGAUUUAACGUCGAUGUUUCGUACGUACGAACAAUGGUUUAGACCAUCCUAGAAAAAAUUAUAUUCUGCGUGCUGAUGGAUUAUGUAAAAAAAAAAAAAACAAUCCAAGUUUGAUAAUCGUACUCCGCAUUUAUGAUUGAUCGAUUACCCUCGAUUAUUGCGAUUCGAGAUCUCAAAUAAUCAUAAUAUUUUUACAGCCGGAGUGAACGAC